AUGAACGCUAGCUACAGGCUUAACACAUGCAAGUCGAGGGGCAGCAUGAACUUAGCUUGCUAAGUUUGAUGGCGACCGGCGCACGGGUGAGUAACACGUAUCCAACCUGCCGAUGACUCGGGGAUAGCCUUUCGAAAGAAAGAUUAAUACCCGAUGGCAUAGUUCUUCCGCAUGGUAGAACUAUUAAAGAAUUUCGGUCAUCGAUGGGGAUGCGUUCCAUUAGGUUGUUGGCGGGGUAACGGCCCACCAAGCCUUCGAUGGAUAGGGGUUCUGAGAGGAAGGUCCCCCACAUUGGAACUGAGACACGGUCCAAACUCCUACGGGAGGCAGCAGUGAGGAAUAUUGGUCAAUGGACGAGAGUCUGAACCAGCCAAGUAGCGUGAAGGAUGACUGCCCUAUGGGUUGUAAACUUCUUUUAUACGGGAAUAAAGUGAGGCACGUGUGCCUUUUUGUAUGUACCGUAUGAAUAAGGAUCGGCUAACUCCGUGCCAGCAGCCGCGGUAAUACGGAGGAUCCGAGCGUUAUCCGGAUUUAUUGGGUUUAAAGGGAGCGUAGGCGGACGCUUAAGUCAGUUGUGAAAGUUUGCGGCUCAACCGUAAAAUUGCAGUUGAUACUGGGUGUCUUGAGUACAGUAGAGGCAGGCGGAAUUCGUGGUGUAGCGGUGAAAUGCUUAGAUAUCACGAAGAACUCCGAUUGCGAAGGCAGCUUGCUGGACUGUAACUGACGCUGAUGCUCGAAAGUGUGGGUAUCAAACAGGAUUAGAUACCCUGGUAGUCCACACAGUAAACGAUGAAUACUCGCUGUUUGCGAUAUACAGUAAGCGGCCAAGCGAAAGCGUUAAGUAUUCCACCUGGGGAGUACGCCGGCAACGGUGAAACUCAAAGGAAUUGACGGGGGCCCGCACAAGCAGUGGAGUAUGUGGUUUAAUUCGAAGCAACGCGAAGAACCUUACCAGGUCUUGACAUCCGAUGCAUAGCACAGAGAUGUGUGAAAUCCUUCGGGACAUCGAGACAGGUGGUGCAUGGUUGUCGUCAGCUCGUGUCGUGAGAUGUUGGGUUAAGUCCCGCAACGAGCGCAACCCUUGCUAUUAGUUGCUACGCAAGAGCACUCUAAUAGGACUGCCGUUGACAAAACGGAGGAAGGUGGGGAUGACGUCAAAUCAGCACGGCCCUUACGUCCGGGGCUACACACGUGUUACAAUGGGGGGUACAGAAGGCAGCUACACGGCGACGUGAUGCUAAUCCCUAAAGCCUCUCUCAGUUCGGAUUGGAGUCUGCAACCCGACUCCAUGAAGCUGGAUUCGCUAGUAAUCGCGCAUCAGCCACGGCGCGGUGAAUACGUUCCCGGGCCUUGUACACACCGCCCGUCAAGCCAUGAAAGCCGGGGGUACCUGAAGUGCGUAACCGCAAGGAGCGCCCUAGGGUAAAACUGGUGAUUGGGGCU
rnacentral:rRNA from 1 species